AAAGUUAAAUAAUUCUAUUGCUGCCCAGCUGGUUUACUCAGAGAUGAAAUCAGACUUUGAGGCCAACAUAAAUAAAAAAGAAAGAGAUUCUUAUUAGAUGUUACAGAGUUGAACCAAUAGAGUCUUGUGCAACAAAAGCAGGCCUGAAGGUGGUCAGUGGUCUCAUCUCUGUUUGUGAGAAUAGAAAAUGAAUACUCUGAUUUGAAGAUGCUGUCAGCUAUAGGGGCAAUUUUCAGUUAAAAUAAAUAAAUGCAAAUGGUGGAUUGAUACGUGGAGCUUGUUAUUUUUUAGUCAACCCUAGAUGGAUCUCACCUAAUGAUAAAUAGGAAGUACGAUGUAUGAUUUUUUUUCCCUUGAGUCAAAAUGAGACUCAUUCAUCUCUGCCUCUCAUUGGCCAACACUAGGCUUCAUUGGAUUAGAUAGCUCCAGAUUAGGAUUUAAAAUGAGGAGCAGGUUACCGGUUGUUUUCUGAUGCUUGUGAUGGUAAACAUUUGUGUUUGACGCACAAAACAUCUGUGUUUUCAGAGGCACCCAUCACUGCUGCCUGCUUCUGUCUCACAAGAACACAAACAUAUACAGUGAGAAUUUUCUAAAUUAGCAAACAAAGGACAAAGGACUGUCCUCCAAAUGGGUUUUGAGGUGGAACGUCUUCAGAUAAAACUGCCACAUGCUAACCUACAGCCACUGAAGGUCUCUGAGUGGCUGUGGGAGAAAACAGGAAGAAAAGAACAAGAUUGGGGAAGUGGCUUCUGCUCAGGAGGCAAUGUAAUCAUUUCUCAAAUGGAAGGUGUGAGGAGCAGAGCUGUUGAUGAAUGAGGGGACAUAAAUCAGAGAAACACUGAGGUGACAUCCCAAAAGAAUGCACCGCAGAACAUGAGCAACAAGAUCGUUUCAUGUUGGCUUUCAUGUGUUACUGCUACUCUGGGAGCAAAAUACAGGAAACCUUUCCUCAAAGAGGGAAAUGCAGACAUAAAGGGCAACUGUCAACAGACAUUUUCUGCCUGAAAUGACUUCCUGGUGUUAAAUAAACAUGAGUGGUUCUGCAGCCAUUCUCUAUA